rnacentral:tRNA from 1 species
GGGCUCGUGGUGAAAUGGCAUCACGCAACCUUCGCAAGGUUGAGGCUGCGGGUUCGACUCCCGCCGGGUCCA